CCGAACCCGGAAGCUAAGCCUCUCAGCGCCGAUGGUACUGCAAGGGGGACCUUGUGGGAGAGUAGGACGCCGCCGGAC
rnacentral:rRNA from 18 species